rnacentral:rRNA from 1 species
GUAGGUGGCAAGCGUUAUCCGGAAUUAUUGGGCGUAAAGCGCGCGCAGGCGGUUUCUUAAGUCUGAUGUGAAAGCCCACGGCUCAACCGUGGAGGGUCAUUGGAAACUGGGGAACUUGAGUGCAGAAGAGAAAGCGGAAUUCCACGUGUAGCGGUGAAAUGCGUAGAGAUGUGGAGGAACACCAGUGGCGAAGGCGGCUUUUUUGGUCUGUAACUGACGCUGAGGCGCGAAAGCGUGGGGAGCAAACAGGAUUAGAUACCCUGGUAGUCCACGCCGUAAACGAUGAGUGCUAAGUGUUAGAGGGUUUCCGCCCCUUUAGUGCUGCAGCUAACGCAUUAAGCACUCCGCCUGGGGAUACGGUCGCAAGACUG